UGAGACACUAGUUAAGAAGGAAG
rnacentral:misc_RNA from 1 species